GGAGGGGUGGCAGAGUGGUCGAAUGCGGCGGUCUUGAAAACCGUUGAAGCGUAAGCUUCCGGGGGUUCGAAUCCCUCCCCCUCCGCCA
rnacentral:tRNA from 1 species